GGCGACCCGUGGCCCGACGGCGCCUCAGGCCGCGGCUUACGGCAACCCCGCGCUGAGAGCCCCUCCUCGGCCCGUCUCCGCCCGGCCCCGGGAGCUCUGCCGGACUCCGACCCGCCGUCCUCCGGCGACCCCGAGCGACCCGCGACCCCACGGUCCCCGCGAGGCCCGCACCCCGCGGCGCCCCUGGAGCGACGACCCGCCGCGGGCAGACCUCCGGCCGCCGGGAUCCCGGCCGCUGCUCUCCCUGCCGUUUCUUAGAAGUCGGAAAACACCACUUCACACGUCCCUGGGGCAGAUGACAGCGUUAAGUGUCUCUAGGAAGAGAAUCCGAAGCUGCAUCUGUGGCUCACGUGACAUUUCUAUGGGACGGCGCAGGUUCAGGGACUCUCGCCAGGUGCUGGAUCGAUUUGCUGUCGAGGGACGGUGUUUGAUCUGGAGACGCGUCACAUUCCUUACCUGCGCGGUACGAGCUGUCUCCUUCCCCUUCACGCCUUUCCAGGAGGGUCUGGCUGGCUGCCAGCGAGGACUGUGCGGCGCGCCGUGCGAUGGCCCCUUCAGGGUCCGGGUCCCCCCGCUCGCGUGUUGUCUGCCGCUGACUCUCAGCCGAGUCUUUGUCAGGAGUCGCUUGCCGCUGAGGGGAGGUGGUUCGAGCCCUUUCAGGCAGGUCUGUGAAAUCCAGGUGCUUUGUCCCCGAUCAAGCACAGACGGGGCCGGAGAGCUCAAGCGAGUGGCUCCGACCUCCUGUCACUAUCACUGCUGGCACCGCUCCCCCAGCUGCGUAGGCCUGGGCUGCCACUGAGCCUCACCUGGGACAGCCUGGGGUGGAGAAGAGAGGGCGGGUGUGGGUCACAGAUGGCCAGACUCUGUGUGUAGCGCUCCGACCUGCGGCCCGCGCCGGGGGCCCGUGAAGACAGAGGUGAGGGGUGAAGCUCUCAGUAGGCCUCGCGGGGUGGUCUUGGCCGUCCGCUCCGUGUGGAAUGAGUAUGCGCUCAAGUAAGAAUAUCCACAGACUCACGAGAAACAGCAAACCGCGUGGCUGCUGGCUAGGGACCCGCCGAGGAAGAGACGGAAGGAUUUAGGGUCUGGGGCCGGGGCAGAGGCAUGUGGACGGACUUGUGGGAGGGAGCAUAAGGGGUCGGGGCCACUGCAUUUCGUGUUCACACCACCAGGAGCAGCCGCAGCAGGAGAGGCCCUUGAACAACUAAGCCGGCACAGUGACUCCGCCCGAGACCCCGCGGGCCCCUGUUCCUCAGCCGCCUCCGUGUCUGAGCAGUGGCUGUGAGUGGAGCGGUGGCCCUGCGGUGGCCGGGACCAGGGCAGUCCGGACGGUGUGGACGGCAGACACCAGACCGGCAUCCGCUGGAGGAGGC
rnacentral:lncRNA from 1 species